AACGAACGCUGGCGGCAUGCCUAACACAUGCAAGUCGAACGAGACCUUCGGGUCUAGUGGCGCACGGGUGCGUAACACGUGGGAACCUGCCCUUAGGUUCGGAAUAACUCCCCGAAAGGGGUGCUAAUACCGGUUAAUGUCUUCGGACCAAAGAUUUAUCGCCUUUGGAUGGGCCCGCGUUGGAUUAGCUAGUUGGUAGGGUAAAAGCCUACCAAGGCGACGUUCCAUAGCUGGUCGGAGAGGAUGAUCAGCCACACUGGGACUGAGACACGGCCCAGACUCCUACGGGAGGGAGCAGUGGGGAAUAUUGGACAAGGGGCGAAAGCCUGAUACAGCAAUGCCGCGUGAGUGAUGAAGGCCUUAGGGUUGUAAAGCUCUUUUACCCGGGAUGAUAAUGACAGUACCGGGAGAAUAAGCUCCGGCUAACUCCGUG
rnacentral:rRNA from 1 species